AGUCGAACGGCAGCACGGGUGCUUGCACCUGGUGGCGAGUGGCGAACGGGUGAGUAAUGCGUCGGAACGUACCGAGUAAUGGGGGAUAACGCAGCGAAAGUUGUGCUAAUACCGCAUACGCCCUGAGGGGGAAAGUGGGGGAUCGUAAGACCUCACGUUAUUCGAGCGGCCGACGUCUGAUUAGCUAGUUGGUGGGGUAAAGGCCUACCAAGGCGACGAUCAGUAGCGGGUCUGAGAGGAUGAUCCGCCACACUGGGACUGAGACACGGCCCAGACUCCUACGGGAGGCAGCAGUGGGGAAUUUUGGACAAUGGGGGCAACCCUGAUCCAGCCAUUCCGCGUGAGUGAAGAAGGCCUUCGGGUUGUAAAGCUCUUUCAGCUGGAACGAAACGGUACGCGCUAACAUCGUGUGCUAAUGACGGUACCAGCAGAAGAAGCACCGGCUAACUACGUGCCAGCAGCCGCGGUAAUACGUAGGGUGCGAGCGUUAAUCGGAAUUACUGGGCGUAAAGCGUGCGCAGGCGGAUUGUUAAGCAAGAUGUGAAAUCCCCGGGCUUAACCUGGGAAUGGCAUUUUGAACUGGCAGUCUAGAGUGCGUCAGAGGGGGGUGGAAUUCCACGUGUAGCAGUGAAAUGCGUAGAGAUGUGGGGGAACACCGAUGGCGAAGGCAGCCCCCUGGGAUGACACUGACGCUCAUGUACGAAAGCGUGGGUAGCAAACAGGAUUAGAUACCCUGGUAGUCCACGCCCUAAACGAUGUCAACUGGUUGUUGGGGGAGUGAAAUCCCUUAGUAACGAAGCUAACGCGUGAAGUUGACCGCCUGGGGAGUACGGUCGCAAGAUUAAAACUCAAAGGAAUUGACGGGACCCGCACAAGCGGUGGAUGAUGUGGAUUAAUUCGAUGCAACGCGAAAAACCUUACCUACCCUUGAC
rnacentral:rRNA from 1 species